rnacentral:rRNA from 1 species
GACGAACGCCGGCGGCGUGCUUCAUACAUGCAGGUCGAACGAGAAGCAGGAGCUUGCUCCUGUGGAAAGUGGCGGACGGGUGAGUAACACGUAGGAAAUCUGCCUUUGGGUGGGGGACAACAGUUGGAAACGACUGCUAAUACCCCAUAUGAGCUUGGUCGCAAUACCAAUCUUGAAAACUCCGGUGCCUAAAGAUGAGCCAGCGUCUGAUUAGCUUGUUGGCGGGGUACUGGCCCACCAAGGCGACGAUCAGUAGCUGGUUUGAGAGGAUGAUCAGCCACAAUGGGACUGAGACACGGCCCAUACUCCUACGGGAGGCAGCAGUAGGGAAUUUUGCGCAAUGGGGGAAACCCUGACGCAGCAACGCCGCGUGAAUGACGAAGCCCUUCGGGGUGUAAAGUUCUGUCAGUAGGGAAGAAUUUUGACUGUACCUACAAAGGAAGCACCGGCUAACUCCGUGCCAGCCGCCGCCGUAA